rnacentral:rRNA from 1 species
AUUGAACGCUGGCGGCAUGCUUUAUACAUGCAAGUCGUGCGGCAGCGCGGGGGCAACUCUGGCGGCGAGCGGCGAACGGGUGAGUAAUACAUAGGAACGUAUCCUGAAAUGGGGGAUAGCUCGGCGAAAGCCGGAUUAAUACCGCAUACGCUCCACGGAGGAAAGCAGGGGAUCGCAAGACCUUGCGUUUCUGGAGCGGCCUAUGUCUGAUUAGCAGUUGGCGGGGUAAUAGCCCACCAAGGCGACGAUCAGUAGCUGGUCUGAGAGGAUGAUCAGCCACACUGGGACUGAGACACGGCCCAGACUCCUACGGGAGGCAGCAGUAGGGAAUUUUGGACAAUGGGGCAACCUGAUCCAGCCAUGCCGCGUGAGGGAUGACGGCCU